rnacentral:rRNA from 1 species
CCUACGGGAGGCAGCAGUGAGGAAUAUUGGUCAAUGGCCGCAGGGCUGAACCAGCCAAGUCGCGUGAGGGAUGACGGUCCUAUGGAUUGUAAACCUCUUUUGUCAGGGAACAAAGGCGGGGACUAGUCCCCGGAUGAGGGUACCUGAAGAAAAAGCAUCGGCUAACUCCGUUCCAGCAGCCGCGGUAAUACGGAGGAUGCGAGCGUUAUCCGGAUUUAUUGGGUUUAAAGGGUGCGCAGGCGGCCUGUUAAGUCAGCGGUAAAAGCCCGGGGCUCAACCCCGGCGAGCCGUUGAAACUGGCGGGCUGGAGUUGGAGAGAAGGACGCGGAAUGCGCGGGGUAGCGGUGAAAUGCUUAGAUAUCGCGCAGAACCCCGAUUGCGAAGGCAGCGUACCGGCUCCACACUGACGCUGAGGCACGAAAGCGUGGGUAUCGAACAGGAUUAGAGACCCCAGUAGUC